AGUCGAGGGGUAACGGGGAGGCUUGCUUCCGCCGACGACCGGCGCACGGGUGCGUAACGCGUAUACAAUCUACCUUAUACUGGGGUAUAGCCUUUAGAAAUGAAGAUUAAUCCCCCAUAGUCUCUUAAAGUGGCAUCACUUAAGGAGUAAAGGUUACGGUAUAAGAUGAGUAUGCGUUCUAUUAGUUUGUUGGUGUGGUAACGGCACACCAAGACUACGAUAGAUAGGGGCCCUGAGAGGGGGAUCCCCCACACUGGUACUGAGACACGGACCAGACUCCUACGGGAGGCAGCAGUGAGGAAUAUCGGACAAUGGAGGCAACUCUGAUCCAGCCAUGCCGCGUGCAGGAUGACUGCCCUAUGGGUUGUAAACUGCUUUUAUACAGGAAGAAACUUACACACGUGUGUGUAACUGACGGUACUGUAAGAAUAAGGAUCGGCUAACUCCGUGCCAGCAGCCGCGGUAAUACGGAGGAUCCAAGCGUUAUCCGGAAUCAUUGGGUUUAAAGGGUCCGUAGGUUGAUAAUUAAGUCAGAGGUGAAAUCUUGCAGCUCAACUGUAAAAUUGCCUUUGAUACUGGUUAUCUUGAGUUAUUAUGAAGUAGUUAGAAUAUGUAGUGUAGCGGUGAAAUGCAUAGAUAUUACAUAGAAUACCAAUUGCGAAGGCAGAUUACUAAUAAUCAACUGACACUGAUGGACGAAAGCGUGGGUAGCGAACAGGAUUAGAUACCCUGGUAGUCCACGCCGUAAACGAUGGUUACUAGCUGUUUGGACCUUGUGUCUGAGUGGCUAAGCGAAAGUGAUAAGUAACCCACCUGGGGAGUACGUUCGCAAGA
rnacentral:rRNA from 1 species